rnacentral:rRNA from 1 species
UACGUAGGGAGCAAGCGUUGUCCGGAAUCAUUGGGCGUAAAGCGUACGUAGGCGGCCCGGUAAGUCCGUUGUAAAAGUCAAAGGCUCAACCUUUGAAAGCCGAUGGAUACUGCCGGGCUAGAGUCCGGAAGAGGCGAGUGGAAUUCCUGGUGUAGCGGUGGAAUGCGCAGAUAUCAGGAGGAACACCUAUAGCGAAGGCAGCUCGCUGGGACGGUACUGACGCUAAGGUACGAAAGCGUGGGGAGCAAACAGGG